rnacentral:rRNA from 1 species
UACGUAGGGUGCGAGCGUUGUCCGGAAUUACUGGGCGUAAAGAGCUCGUAGGUGGUUUGUCGCGUUGUUCGUGAAAACUCACAGCUUAACUGUGGGCGUGCGGGCGAUACGGGCAGACUGGAGUACUGCAGGGGAGACUGGAAUUCCUGGUGUAGCGGUGGAAUGCGCAGAUAUCAGGAGGAACACCGGUGGCGAAGGCGGGUCUCUGGGCCAUAACUGACGCUGAGAAGCGAAAGCAUGGGGAGCGAACAGG